GACGAACGCUGGCGGCGUGCUUAACACAUGCAAGUCGAACGGAAAGGCCCUGCUUUUGUGGGGUGCUCGGGUGGCGAACGGGUGAGUAACACGUGAGUAACCUGCCCUUGACUUUGGGAUAACUUCAGGAAACUGGGGCUACUACCGGAUAGGAGCUCCUGCUGCAUGGUGGGGGUUGGAAAGUUUCGGCGGUUGGGGAUGGACUCGCGGCUUAUCAGCUUGUUGGUGGGGUAGUGGCUUACCAAGGCUUUGACGGGUAGCCGGCCUGAGAGGGUGACCGGCCACAUUGGGACUGAGAUACGGCCCAGACUCCUACGGGAGGCAGCAGUGGGGAAUAUUGCACAAUGGGCGGAAGCCUGAUGCAGCAACGCCGCGUGCGGGAUGACGGCCUUCGGGUUGUAAACCGCUUUCGCCUGUGACGAAGCGUGAGUGACGGUAAUGGGUAAAGAAGCACCGGCUAACUACGUG
rnacentral:rRNA from 1 species